rnacentral:lncRNA from 1 species
AUGAAACCCUUGAAAAAAGAGGAUAGAUCGAAAUAUAGCUGCUACACCAAAACUAGGAGCAAAGAACCAACCAGACUAACCCGGUGGAUAAAUAAGAAAUACAGAAACAAAAACAGCAAUUCGACCAGAGAAUGCGAUUGCAUUAUAAGGUCUCAAUUGAACAGAUCGAGCAAGCUCGAAUUGACGUAACAUGAAACCUAUUAGGCCAGUGGAUAAAUAAGAAAUACAGAAACAAAAACAGCAAUUGGACCAGAGAAUGCGAUUGCAUUAUAAGGUCUCAAUUGAACAGAUCGAGCAAGCUCGAAUUGACAUAACAUGAAACCUAUUAGGCCAAAAGCUCAAUGGAGAGCAACAAAAGUCCACAGACCCCCCAAUUGACACCAACGAGUAAAAUCUCCACCUUCUGUGUGCUUAUUUUGGAGAAGAACAUGCUAUA